rnacentral:rRNA from 1 species
UACGUAGGGUCCGAGCGUUGUCCGGAAUUACUGGGCGUAAAGAGCUCGUAGGUGGUUUGUCGCGUUGUCCGUGAAAACUCACAGCUCAACUGUGGGCGUGCGGGCGAUACGGGCAGACUGGAGUACUGCAGGGGAGACUGGAAUUCCUGGUGUAGCGGUGAAAUGCGCAGAUAUCAGGAGGAACACCGGUGGCGAAGGCGGAUCUCUGGGCCUGUCCUGACGCUGAGGCGCGAAAGCUAGGGGAGCGAACAGG